rnacentral:lncRNA from 1 species
GGUGGGGGAGAGACAAGGAGCCAUCCAUGCCAACCCAUUUCGGCCACCCCGCUCUCCCUGCGACACUUACACAGCCAAGGGGAUCUGCUGCUCCGAGCCGGCCACGGCCACCAGGCUGAGGCAAACACCUGCCCAGAAGAGGGCGAGGAGCCCCGCGGAAGCCCUCCCGAGCCCGGGCAUGGUGUCGGUCCUCGGCGUGCCUUCCCAGCGACGCUGCUCUCGGCUUGCGCGGCGGCGGAGAGGGAAAAGCGAGCGGGCGGGCGGGCGAGCGCGGAGCCGGGGCGCGGCGGGGCGCGGAGUCACGGCGCCAUCCUCUUCUCCUCAGCUCCGCGAGCGGGGCGGCUGGCUGGCUGGCUUCGCUCCAGAUCCUGAGGCGGGUCGGGCUCUCCCGGCUGGUCCCCGAAAAGUGGGGUGUCCUCGGCAACCCGCCCCACGGGCUUGCCACGCUGCUGGGCAACCACAACUCCGCUCCGCAGUCGGCGGCGCGCCGGAGUUACUUCCGCGAGUGACCUCGUGGCUGCUCCCGCCGGCGCCUUGAAGUGCAGAGCCCGGCAGGUUUGGGCGGGAAGGAGCUCGCUCGCUGUCGUCGAGGGUCAGGUGGGGAGGAGCUCGGCGGCCGAAGCGCGGCUCACUUUGCCCAGGGAAACGCAAAGAGGUCCCUCCCUCCGUCCCCUUUUGGGCGACGUGUGUACGCGCGCCUCCCUCUCCCUCUCGCCCGCCUCCCUCCCUCUCUCUGCGUUCAUUCAGCGCUGCGCAGCUCCAGCGCAGCCUUCGUUCCAAAUCAAGUCCGCGCUGCUAAUAUACCCUGGUGGAGAGCGGCGCGGCGUCGGCCGCCUUUUAAGGAGAUGGUGCGCGCCGUCAGGCAGGCAUCGCAGGGGGAGGGAGGAGCAGCAGGAGGAGGAAGAAGAAGAAGAAGAAGCAGAAGAGCGAGCCAGGGCCGAAAGUGUCUCCAAGGCGGCAGAAGCGGAGCAAGUCCGCAGGAAAAAGUGCGGGACGAUCCGCGUUGGGAUCAGCGGCAGCAGGGAGCCAGAGGGAAAGGCGCCGCUGCCAGAUCCGCAGCCCCUCCCGCCGCCGCCGCCGGAGGAAGAGACCUGUAUACCUGAAGGAGCAUCUCCACAUCCACCGUCCAGCCAAGACACUGAGGUGCAGCUCUGAGGGCCUUCUGGCAGUUCCCUCACUGCACUAUGUGAAGCUACAGGGAACAAAGCAGAGUGCCUUCUGGGUAGUGGGGCCCGCCCUGUGGAAUGCCCUUCCAUCAGAUGUCAAAUGGAUAAACAACUAUUUGACUUUUAGAAGACAUCUGAAGGCAGCCCUGUUCAGGGAAGUUUUUAAUGAUUGGUGCUUUAUUGUGUUUUUAAUAUUUUGUUGGGAGCCGCCCAGACUGGCUGGGGCAACCCAGUCAGAUGGGCAGCGUAUAAAUAAUAAAAUUAUUAUUAUUAUCCAAAAGAUUGGUCUCCCUCUCCCUGCACACUGUCCUCCCUCAUCCGUACCCUCUUCCCCUCUCAUGCUCA